UCACACCACUGCCAAGGGGAUGAGAAAAUGGAUGUGCUUCAGAAUCUCCAAGAAGAAACUAGUGAGAAAGUGUGUGAAUUACUUAAAGACAAGCUGGUAGAAUUCAAUAGCUUCCUUCAUCUCCCAGGAGAGCACCCUCCUAAGAAAACACGUUUGUCUGUCAGAUCCCUAAUAAGUACCAUCUGGAAAGAGGGGAGCUGGGAAAUCUGGAGGACGGUGGCAUUUCUGAACUUCUGCAGGUUAGAGACAAGUUAAACAAGUUAGUGGUUGCUACAACUGCGGUGGUUGGUGAAGUGAAGGGAAAACAGGGAAGACCAGUUGUCACCAUCUUGUUCGCACCCUAAAUAGAGGCUAUCCAGAGGAGGAGAUAAUUGCUGCACUGAUCAGAGCGAUUAUACCGGGGACCCAGUUGCACGGUUAUUUUGAGCAUAACUCAGACGUGAACUAACCUACCCUUAGAGAGAUCCUUCACUCACAUUAUCAGGAAAAAGGGGCAACUGAACUGUAUAGGCAGCUGGCAGCAGAAGCCCAAUGCAGUACAGAGACAAAAAUUCUUAAUACGUGUUCUUGACUUGAAGGAGCGCCUAGUCUGAAAUAUGAUCCAGACUUAGUGCAGAGCAUGUUUUUACAUGCUGUACUCAGCAGUUUACAAAGUGAUUCUAUUCAAAAUAGUUUCCAAAACUUCAGAUGAGGUACUGUGCAAAUGAAGCGGAGAAAACAAACGUAAGCUAUUUGGGUCAGCCGGCACUCCCACUGUCAACCCUGAAUAGUUAGAGGAACAUCCUGCUGAGCAUAAAUGUCAGAUGGAAAAGACUCAUACAGACCUAGUGUCACAGUUGAAACCUCUUAGUGAAGACAUUUCACAAUCUAACUCGCUUUACACCUGGACAAAAAUGUCUCAAAGAUGGAAGAUGUAUUGAUUAUAGGGACCUGAAUAAGAAAACCAUUCUUGACUGCCAGCCCAUUCCAUGAGUGCAAGACGUUAUAGACAGCUUACUGGGUAUUGCUUGGUUCUUGUUACUUGAUCAGGGGAAAGCAUACCAGCAAGGAUUCAUGUUGAAAGAAAGCAGGCCACUAAUAGCCUUCAUAACUCCCUGGGGUUAUUCAAAUCCCCUUUGGAUUCAUGAAUGCGCCUGCAGCUUUCCAACGUUUCAUGGUGGAGUGUCUUGAAGGACUAAGAGACAAAGUCUGUUUACCAUACCUGGAUGGCACACUAACGUUCACUAAGACCUUCGACGAGCAUGUUGAUGCGGUGAGAAGAGUGAUACAGCGAAUGCGGGCACUUGGAGUGAACCUUAAACCCAGCAAGUGUGAGUUCUAGGCUGACAUUCACUACCUGGGGAGAAUUGCGUCAGCAGAGGGAAAUGAGUUGGAUCGUGCAGACACUGUGGCAGUAAAAGAGUAGUCAGACAAUAGUGGGAGAAUGGAGAAAGUUUCUGGGUCUAUUAAGCUAUGAUCAGCAGUACGUUAAGGAUUUCCCUAGAAUUGUGAACUCCUCCCCCCCCAAUACGUAGUUCAGUCUAGUUUUCGUACUGUGUCACGUAACACCAUGGUCCUGAAAAACGUUGUCUCAUUUUUACUGUGUACUGUACCAGCAGUUAUGGUUGAAAUGACAAUAAAAGUAACUUGCGAUGACAGCGACCAAGAUCAGCUCAGUAGGGGUAGCCUUAGAAAGACGAAAAAAGAAGAGGAACUGUGUACUCUCUUGCAAACCGAUCAGUUGGACACAGACGCAUCAAAAAACUUUGGGGAAGCUGAAUGAUUGCCUGGUACAGCCACCCGUGCUGGGAUCCCUAGUCUUUGAACAACAUUAAUUCUCUACAUUGAGGCCUUCAGUGAAGGGUUGGGAGCAGUUCUGUAUCAAAAGCAAGAUGGCAAACUGAGAACAAUAGCCUAUGGAUGACGAACAUUGACAAAUGCAGAAAAAAAAACUACCAUCUACACAGCAGGAGAUUGGAAUUCCUUGCUUUGAAGUGGGCAAUUACUGAAAAAUUUAGGGAUUACCUGUACUAUGCCCUGGCACUCACAGUUUACAGUGACAACAAUCUCCUUAAGAAUGUUCUGUCUAUAGCAAACCGAAAUGCAACUGGAUAUAGAUAGAUUGCAGAACCAGCUGAAUUCUCCUUCAAUAUGUGUUAUUGCUCGGGAAAAGAAAACGUUGAUGCUGACUGUCCCGAAUGCCAAUAGCCAUGGAAACGCUUAUGAGUGAGUGCACAGAUGUCUCAUCCGAUUCAGUGAGGGCCACAGUCCAGGCCAUUAAAGUGCAGCAAAGUGCAGAAAUACCCUGGUUCAUGACAGUAGCUGUGUCAUACUGGGGACAGGAGGCUGGACCCAAGUGCAGGACACAGGCACUGAAGUACUAGGGGCAGGACGGGAACAACUAAACGAGAGGCAAGACGUGGAGACCGUGGUGUGUGUGAGGGACGUAAUGUUCAAGGUGAUGCUGGGGUUCCAAGAGAGUCUUAAAGUUCAGGCAGGCAGGAGGAUCCCAGAGUUCAGGCAAGGCAGGCCACAUAACUUCUGGGCAGGUCACGGGACACCUGGGUAGGUAGCAGGGCACAACCCAUCAACAUCGAGAGAUAGGUAAGGGCAGAGACCUCUGGGCAGGCCUCAUAACUCCUAGGCAGGGCCCAGACCUCCCAAGCAGGAACACAGGCCUGAACAGGUCACGGGGCACCUGGGCAAGUUACAGGGCACAACCCAUCAGCAGUGAGGGAUAGUUAGGGGCAGAGACCUCUGGGCAGGCCUCAUAACUCCUAGGCAGGGCCCAGACCUCUCAGGCAGGGACACAAGGGCCUGAACAGGUCACAGGGCACCUGGGUAGGUUGCAGGGCACAACCCAUCAGCAACAAGGGAUGGAAAGGGGCAGAGUCCUCCACCAGGCAACAGCAGUUCAGCCAGGCUUGCCCAGUGGAGGCAAGGGAUAGGAAGGGAACUAGGUCCAGGGUGACUGCCAGACUUACUUGAACAACUCAUCUUUAACAUAGAGAACUCCAAGCCAGAGUGACCAGAGGAACAGGAUAGGCAGGACAACCCCCAACUCCACUCAGUCCCAGAGCCCCUAUAUACACCACCAACCAAUGGGCAUCAGGGGCACCUCCUCGAGCCCCAACAAGCCACGAUGAUCCACAGGUGUGACUAAUUGGGCUCAAGGGUGAAAGGAGGGACGGCUACAAGACCCGGAGUUCGGAGUCCGCGGACCGGAUCAAGACCUGGAAUGCAGAUCCCGGACCGGACCAUAACAAUCUGUACCGUCAGACGCAGUAAGUGUCGACUUGGUGAACACGUUAAUUUCACCACAGUCCAGGAGGAAGAUCCAGCAAGCACAGGAAGUGGAUGGUGACAUCAAAAUGGUAAUUGACUUUGUACACUCAGGUUCGAAACCUACUUUUUAAUAAGUACAGACAUUACGUAAAUGAGCCAGGUGCUUUUUGUAAGAGUAGGAUAAAUUAGUAUUGGAUGAGGAUGGCAUCCUUCAUUAGAAAUCUACCAAUGAACACGACUGAUGCUACAGUGUCAUGCAAAGGUUUGGGCACCCCGGUCAAAAUUUCUGUUACUGUGAAUAGUAAGUGAGUAGAAGAUGAACCGAUCUCCAAAAGUCAUAAAGUUACAGAUGAAACAUUAUUUUGAACAUCUUAAGCAAGAUUAGUGUAUUAUUUUUGUUUUGUAUAAUUUUAGAGUGAAAGAAAGGAAAAGAGCACCAUGCAAAAGUUUGGGCACCCCAAGAGAUCUGAGCUCUCAGAUAACUUUCACCAAGGUCUCAGACCUUAAUUAGCUUGUUAGGGCUAUGGCUUGUUCACAGUCAUCGUUAGGAAAGGCCUGGUGAUGCAAAUUUCAAAGCUUUAUAAAUACCCUGACUCCUCAAACCUUAUCCCAACAUUCAGCUGCCAUGUUCUCCUCUAAGCAGCUGCCUAGUACUCUAAAAAUUAAAAUAAAUUAUCCCCACAAAGCAGAAGAAGGCUAUAAGGAGAUAGCAAAGUGUUUUCGUGUAGCUGUUUCCUCAGUUCAUAAUGUAAUUAAGAAAUGGCAGUUAACAGGAACGGUGGAGGUCAAGUUGAGAUCUGGAAGACCAAGAAAACUUUCCAAGAGAACUGCUCUUAGGAUUGCUCGAAAGGCAAAUCAAACCCCUGUUUGACUGCAAAAGACCUUCAGGAAGAUUUAGCAGACUCUGGAGUGGUGGUGCACUGUUCUACAGUGUUCUACAGCGACACCUGCACAAAUAUGACCUUCAUAGAAGAGUCAUCAAAAGAAAACCUUUCUUGCGUCCUCACCACAAAAUUCAACAUCAGAAGUUUGCAAAGGAACAUCUAAACAAGACUGAUGCAUUUUGGAAACUAGUCCUGUGGACUGAUGAAGUUAAAAUAGAACUUUUUGGCCGCAAUGAGCAAAGGUGUGUUUGGAGAAAAAAGGGUGCAGAAUUUCAUGAAAAGAACAUCUCUCCAACUGUUAAGCACGGGGGUGGAUCGAUCAUGCUUUGGGCUUGCGUUGCAGCCAGUGGCACGGGGAACAUUCCGCUAGUAGAGGGAAGAAUGAAUUCAAUUAAAUACCAGCAAAUUCUGGAAGCAAAUGUUACAUUGACUGUUUUAAAAAAAAAGCUGAAGAUGAAAAGAGGAUGGCUUCUACAAUAGGAUAAUGAUCCUGAUCCUAAACACACCUCAAAAUCCACAAUGGACUACCUCAAGAGGCACAAUCUGAAGGUUUUGCCAUGGCCCUCUGUCUCCUGACCUAAACAUCAUCAAAAAUCUCUGGAUAGACCUCAAAAGAGCAGUGCAUGCAAGAUGGCCCAAGAAUCUCACAUAACUAGAAGCCUUUUGCAAGGAAGAAUGGGUGAAAAUCCCCCAAACAAGAAUUGAAAGACUCUUAGCUGGCUACAGAAAGCGUUUACAAGCUGUGAUACUUGCCAAAGGGGGUGUGACCAUGCAGGGUGCCCAAACUUUUGCUUUGGGUCCUUUUCCUUUUUUGUUAUUUUGAAACUGUAAUAGAUGGAAAUAAAAAAGUAAUCUUGCUGAAAAUAUUAAAGAAAUGUGUCAUUUUAAACUUUAUGCCUUUUGGAAACCAGGUCAUAUUUUACUCGCUUAGCUAUUCACAGUAACAUAAAUGUUGACCGGGGUGCCCCAAAUUUAGCAUGCCACUGUAUCUGUGAGGUUCAAGUAUACGGUCCUGAAAGAGCUACAUGAUAAAAUGGGGCAUCGAGGUGUUGAUCAUACAGUGGCUCUGGUAAGAGAGAUUUUUCUGGCCUCACGCGCAAAGGGACAUUGAGCACCACGUGCUAAGAGCCUGUACCUGUCUCAAGCGAAAGAAGCCGUGUGGGGAAACAAGGGCACCAUUGAAGAGUAUCAUGACAAUGCAGCCAUUGAACCUGUGUCCGUUAACUUUCUUCACCUGGACAAGUGCAUGGGUAGAUAUGAGUACAUUCUGGUGAUUAUUCACCAUUUUACAUGAUUGCACAGGUAUGGAACAUGCCCUCAAAGUCAGGAAAAACUGUCACUGACUGCAUCAUGUCAAAAGCGCCGAAUCUGAGAACCAGCUCUUCACCCAACUGAGAAAACAGAGCAGCGUGGCAGGAUCAAGAACUACACCGUCCACCCCCCCAGGGAAACGGACGAGAACUACACCGUCCACCCCCUCCAGGGAAACGGACGAGAACUACACCGUCCACACCCCCCCCCAGGGAAACGGACAAGAACUACACCGUCCACACCCCACCCCCCGGGGAAACGGACGAGAACUACACCAUCCACCCCCGGGGAAAUGAACGAGAACUACACCGUCCACACCCCCCCCAAGGAAACGGAUGAGGACUACACCAUCCACCCCCCCCAGCUCCAUCACAUCAGUGGGUUUAAAUCCUGGUACUCCCUCCCCAUGGGAACGUUUUCUACGUGCAAGCUAUUAUGGUCCAAGAUGCUGGCUCACCACGCCAUUUUUUAGGAGCAAUUAGGGAUGUGCGAUGCCUGGAAAAAUGAAUAAAAAGAAUCAUCACAGAAAUUGCAGAUUCUGAAAUCUGGACCAACACUCUACUGGAGAAAGUCAGCAGGUCGAGCGACAUCUACCAUCAGGGAGCAGAUACAGGAGCCUGCAGGCUCGCGCUCAACAUCACCUUCCCCACCGCCAUUAGCUUUAUGGAAGUUCCAUGAGCCCAUGAACACUACCAUGUUAUUCUUUCUUUUCCUUAUUUAUUUUUUGUAACUUAUAGAAAUUUCCAUGUCUUGCUGUCGCAGAACUAGAAUGUUCACAACAGACUGUCUGCCAGUGACGAGAAACCCACCUCUGAUGGGGGAAGAAUGUGGGGAACAAGCAAAUCUGCUGGAGGAACUCGGUGUCGGUGGGGAUGGGGGGAGGAACUGUUGAUGUUUCAGGUCAAAACCCUGCAUCAGCACUGAGAGUGCAGAGAGGAGAUGGCCAGUGUAAUGAGAAGAGGGACAAUGGUGGAUUAAGGAGGGUACUGCUUAUCACCCUCCAGUGGGGAUAGGGGUUCAACCUCUCCUCCUAUAAAUUAAGUCUCUCCUAUAAAUGGACAGAGACAUUUAUCAAGCAUCUGUCUCUGUCUCCCUACUCCACCACCUUCCCCCUUCACCCUCCAGUGGGGAUAGGGGUUCAACCUCUCCUCCUAUAAAUUAAGUCUCGCCUAUAAAUGGACAGAGACAUUUAUCAAGCAUCUGUCUCUGUCUCCCUACUCCACCACCUUCCCCCUUCUCUGUCUGGCUCGACCUGCCCAUCAGCCUUCACCCACCACCUCAGUUCAUCGAUUACCUCUGUGUCACCACUUCCCUCCUUCCCCCCUCUUCUUCCCUCUGUCCACUAAGCUCUGAUACAGGGUUUCCACCCAAGAUGCUGCUCUAACCAUUGAUUUCUUUGAGCAGAUUGUUUGUUAAAAUAACCACAGCUGGGAUGAAAGAUACCCAUUAUCUACACUGAUUGACUGAGAAUAGUUGUCAUAAGAAUCUGGAAUUAAUUCCAUGGAAAGAUCUAAGAUUCCUAACACAUUUCGCAUGGGAAGAACCAUACUGAGAACCUGACCCCUUUACUAGUCUCUGAGUAUACUUUGCUUCCAUGAAUUACCUUGCUGAAUUAAAGUAAAAUCACAGGAAACAUAUUUUGUGAGAUAGCUGGUAAUGUGGUGGGUUGUGAAACGCUAUCACAGUGCCAGUGAUCUGGGUUCAGUUCCUGCCACUGUCUAUAAGGAGUCUGUACGUUUUCCCCGAGACUGCGUGGGUUUCCUCCAACAUUCUAAAGAGCGAGGAGGUCAGUGUGGGCCCAUUGGACUGGAAGGGCCUGUUACUCUGCUACAUCACUAAAUAAAUAAGUAGCAUUUCUUAAAUAAAUCAAUUCGGUUAGGAAAUCCAAAGUGGAUUCAUUGUUAGACCUAGUGCUUCUCUCCAAGGAAUAAAACAUGCACAUAUCAUCAUUUAUUAAAAAGGAACUAUUUUAGGCAAACCAACAUUUAAAUAUUUAUGGCUUCUUAGAAGCACUUUGAGUGGUGUUUUUGGCUUCCUAUAUAGCUUGACUGAAGUAAUACUCUUGUGGGGAGGGGGUGUGGUUGGAGGGUGAAUGAGCCUGUUCACACGUUCAGCAGGUGAGUAAAAUAAAUGUGUGUGAUCUUUGAAGGUUUAUGGAAGGUGAGUGACUUAAUUUUACUUCAGCGCUACCCUCAGAGAGAGAGAGAGAGAGAGAGAGAGAGAGAGAGAGAGAGAGAG